rnacentral:rRNA from 1 species
AGCGAACGUUAGCGGCGGGCCUAACACAUGCAAGUCGCACGAGAAAGGGGCUUCGGUCCUGAGUAAAGUGGCGGACGGGUGAGUAACACGUGGAUAACCUACCUCCUGGCGGGGGACAACAGUUCGAAAGGACUGCUAAUACCGCAUACGUCAGCGAGAUCGCAUGGUCUUGCUGGGAAAGCCGGCCUCUGCAUGCAAGCUGGCGCUGGGAGAGGGGUCCGCGGCCCAUCAGCUAGUUGGCGGGGUAACAGCCCACCAAGGCGAAGACGGGUAGCUGGUCUGAGAGGAUGAUCAGCCACACUGGGACUGAGACACAGCCCAGACUCCUACGGGAGGCAGCAGUGGGGAAUAUUGGGCAAUGGGCGCAAGCCUGACCCAGCCACGCCGCGUGAGUGAUGAAGGCCUUCGGGUCGUAAAGCUCUGUGGGGAGGGACGAAACGCUGUCGUCGAAUAGGCGGCAGCCUGACGGUACCUCCUUAGCAAGCACCGGCCAACUCCGUGCCAGCCGCCGCGGUAA